GAAAUAUUGAACUUGAAAUAUUUAUUUAAUUAUAAGUUUGAAUUAUGAAAUGGAAAGCAUUUAAUUUACAGUAACAUUUUGAACAAGGAAGAGGGAGGGGAUGGAAAAUAGAAAGAAUGGACAAAAGGAAUACGUACAUAUAUAAACAUAAUUUACAGCUAACUUUUUGAAUUGUGAUCCAUCUUUUUAUUUGGAAUUUUCAGCAUUACAUUAACCUAUAAGACUUCAAUCAAAAACUAAUGUUUCAAUAACAUAUCAUGGCAAAUACCUUCAUCUCUAAUCAUAGAGACAAGCAGGCAAGCGAGGUUUCACCAGAACUUCAAGAGGGGUGGCUUUGCUAUUUGUUAAUCCAGCAGUCUCAGUCAUGUCAACUGGUGUAUUUGAUGGGGUUGACAUCUCAAAUGCUUGAAGGAAACUUGCCAGAGCUAAUUGAGUCAUCAGAAUGCCAAAAUUUAUCCCAGGGCAUGCCCUCCUACCGGCACCAAAUGGAAUGAGCUCAAAAUUCUGACCUUUCACAUCAAUUUCCUUGUGUGUGUUCAGAAAUCUCUCUGGUUCAAAUUGCAUUGGAUUUGACCACACCCGCGGAUCCCUAUGGAUCUUGUAAAUGUUAACCAUUAGGCGGGUACCUGCUGGGACAUGGAAACCACCGAUGGUACAAUCCUCGGAGAAUUCCCGAGGUCCUGAUAGUGGACCAGCAGGGUAUAGCCUCAUCGUCUCCUUUACUAUUGCCUGGAGAUAUACCAGUUUAUCUAUGUCUGAUUCAUUCACAAAUCUUUCUCUGCCAACUUGAAUGUCCAAUUCUUCUUGGGCCUUCCUCAGUGCAAUGGGAUGGUUUAACAAUAGCGCCAGUCCCCAUGUUACCGUAACAGUUGUGGUAUCAGUACCCCCUGCAAUAUUAGUCUACAAAACAGAGUGAACCAGCAUCUUAAAUAAUAAUAAAAGCGUAAAAAAUUAUAAAAUUUGAGGACAGUUAGAAUUCGUAUCUGGAUAAUUAAAUCUUUAAUUACCAUGGAUGUAGCUUUUAUAACAGUAUUAGCAUCAUAACCAGCAAGAUCAAUACCAUCAAGCACCGACAGCAAGACGUCCAUGAAGUCUUGGUCUCUGUUAGACACUUGGCCAGUGUCUCUCUUCCUGCGAUGAUCCUCUAACCACUCUCCAAUGAUACUGUCAAAUUCCUUAGCAGUUCUCUUCAUGGCCUUCUCAUAUCCACCUAAAUCCAUCCACCCAAGAAAUGGAAAAGCAUCCCUCGCUACAGACAGCCCUAACAAGUAAAAGAACUCCCUCAUCGCCUUCUGGAAUCGCCGGGCCUCUCCCUCGUCACCUGCAGAACUAUUACCAAAGUACCUCUUUCCUGCAACCAUCCUGAGAAUCACGUUCAUAUUUAUGUCAUUAAAACAUCUCUUCAUGUCGACCAUGACUUGGUUUGUCUCAUCUUUGUUUUUUGUCCACAACUUGUACAGAUCCUUCAUUGAGCCUGUCACUUCAGAGGCCCUAAUGUGUUUUAAUAGCUCAAGUCUGCGGUUGGAGAGUAGCUCUGUAGCCGUUAAUUUUCGCAUUUCGCGCCAGUAUUCAACUUGAGGGGAGAAUCCGAAAUUGGCAUAAUCGUAGCCCAGAAGUUUUGAACCUGUAAAUUUGGGGCGGGUCCAAACAGCAGCAUCGUUGGUGGUGAAUAUUUCCUUAGCCAAUUCCCAGGUACUGACCACCAAAGCUGAGUAUAUCCCAAUCCUGACGGUGAAGAUAGGUCCAUACUUAUCAGCUAAGGCUGCCAAAGUUAUGUGGGGAAGCUCACGUCCUGCCAACAAAGGGAGAUGACCUAAAAUCGGCCAUGCACCUCCAGCUUCGGGAGCUGCUUUGGCCUUGGCAGAUUUGGACCCCCUCAAGAGAAAGUAGUAAAAGAGAAUUACAGCAGUAAGCCCAAGGAUGAUGUCUUUCAGGUAUGGCGGAAGCAGAGCCAUAUUAUUACAGCUAAGGUGUCUUGGAUGGCGGAAUAUUUCAAUGUUAAAUCUACCUAAACGCGCACUUCUUCUUGUUCCCCACUAACAAUAUAAUUAAGCAGCGAGAAUCAAGACUUAGCCAGUAAUGGAGAGAACCAAUGGACGGACGCCUGCUAGAGGACCA
rnacentral:misc_RNA from 1 species